AGAAUCAACGCUGGCGGCGCGCCUAACACAUGCAAGUCGAACGAGAAAGCCGCAAGGUGAGUAAAGUGGCGUACGGGUGAGUAACACGUGGAUUAUCUACCCUCUAGUGGGGAAUACCGUUGGGAAACCGACGACAAUACCGCAUAAGCUCGAGAGAGGAAAGCGCCUUAAAACGCGCUGGAGGAGGAGUCCGCGGUCGAUUAGUUAGUUGGCAGGGUAAAAGCCUACCAAGACUGUGAUCGAUA
rnacentral:rRNA from 1 species